ACAUGUGCUUGGGAAUAGGGGGGGGGGAGUAGAGAGGGAAGGAAAGGAAUGAGAAAGAAUCUCAAGCCCACUCCAUGCUGAGCAUGGAGCCCGGCUUGGGCCUAGAUGCAGGGCUCGACCCCACGACCCUGAGACCAGGACCCUGAGACCAGGACCUGGGCCAAAACCAAGAGUCAGACCCUUCACCCACUGAGCCAUUCAUGCUCCCCAACCUAUUCCUGACUUUAAAUCCAGUGACCAGACUUCCUCCCCAAUACCAAGACAAAGUUUAUCCCUUUUUUCCACCCCCUUACCUUCCUAUGGUCCUUCUCUAUCUAGUCUAAAUCUAUGUACAUAAUCUUCAUUUUAAUUUUUAUUUUAUGUAGAUAAAAAUGAGAGUGGUAAACUAUUAACUUCCGAGUUACUUCUGGGAUGGGAUACUUAAGGGUUUAUUUUUAUUUUUAAUUUAUUUUAUUUAUUUUAUUUUUUAAAGAUUUUAUUUAUUCAUGAGAUACAGAGAGAGAGAGAGAGAGGCAGAGACUUAGGCAGAGGGAGAAGCAGACUCCCUGUGGGGAGCCCGAUGCAGGACUUGAUCCCAGGACCCCAGGAUCACGCCCUGGGCCAAAGGCAUCCACUCAACAGCUGAGCCACCCAGGCGUCCCAAUACCUAAGGGUUUAGGAAGAAGUUGUCACUCUUUGCUUUAUAUACUUAGAUAUUAUUUAAAUUGCAUGGGUUAAUUUAUUUUUUAAUUAAGCUGUUAAAAACAAAAAAUAAACAAUGUUAAAAUGGCAGUGAUGGUGGAAUGUGUGAUUUGCCACUGGUCAUUCUUUCUGAGGGGGUAAUUUUAGAAUUUUUUUUUUUAAGUAGAGAAACGUGAAAUUCUCUUUCUCAAGGGGAUGGUGUGGAUGUCUCGGAUUAAUUUAAAAGAUGAUUUUAAUAAGCUAAAAAUCAUGACUCGUGAAUAUCAAUGAAAAAUGGCAAUGAUUUUAUUUGAUUUUCUAAUUAAUGUAGAAUCAGUGAGAUGUGUAACUGAAUGAUUUCUAGAGAAUUCAAAGAGUAAACAUGUAUAGAGACAGCCAGGAAUGGUGAAAUGAAUUUACUUAAUAAAUGUAAAAACAUGUAUAGAGACAGCCAGGAAUGGUGAAAUGAAUUUACUUAAUAAAUGUAAAGCUGGCUUCUUGGAGAGAGAAGGAUACCAGUUUGUACCUCUCCCUGACAACAUUUGUUUGCGGUGUACAGACAAGAGGCAUUUGCUUCUGGAAACUUAAAGUAAGAAGGACAUACUGGAGGUGGCAUCAGUUCGAGUCUUCCCUGUUUGCUUCCUCGGGGGCAGUGCCCAUCCACAUGUCCCUGUCGAGGGGUCAUUUCACCCCCCUAGGUGAAAUGGACAUCAGAAAUCUGAAUCAGUUUCAUUGGGCUAAAGUCAGGAUGUCAGCAGGGCUGGUUCCUUCUGGAGAUUGAAUCUACCCAAGAGAACUGAAAAUGUAUACCUCAACCAAGCCUUUUACAAGAAUAUUUCCAGCAGCAUUGCACACAACAGCCAAAUAUCUGACGAUCUGUGUCUGACCAAGUGACAGUAAUCCAGCCAUGAGUGGAAAGAACCCAAAUGCCCAUCAACUGGUCAAUGGAUAAAUAAGAUGUGGUAAAUCUAUACAAUGGAAUGGGCAAUAAAAAGGAUAUAAUAAAGGGAGUCAAGUAGUGAUAGAAGGGGAUAACCUUUGAAAACAUCAUGCUAAGUGAAAGAUGCCGGUAACAAUGAUCACAUAUUGUCUGAUUCCACUUAUAUAAAUAUCCAGGAUAGGGAAAAUUUUAGCAGCAGAAAAGUAGAUUAGUCAUUGUCUAGGUUUGAGGGUAGAUGUGGAGGAGAGUGGGGAAUGAUGGCUAAUGCCUACGGGCUUCUUUUAGGUGUGAUGAAAAAUGUUCUAAAAUUAGAUUGUGGUGAUGGUCACAUAAGUCUGUAAAUAGCUAAAAACUUGAAAUGCACACUCUAAAUAGGUAAAUUUUAUGGUAUGUAAAUUGUAUCUCAAUAGAGAUGCAUAAAUUUUUAAAGAAUGUACUGGGGAUUGACAUAGUCAAUUUCCAUGGGUGUGAGAAUGGAAGUAGCAGGGGAACAAGACUGGAGGCAGGCAGGCAUGUUAAAUUUUUCAGGCGUGAGUUUAAGCAGGCCAGGUUGUUUUGAUUUCAGAUUUUAUUAAAAAUAGAUGCUUAUUCUCUAGAAGUCUGUAAUUAUAACAGUUUCCCCAGCUCUAGUCAAUUGACCAUCUUUACAACCUUUGCUAUAGCCGCAGCACAUUGGAGCUGUGUCCCGUGUGGUGCAGUCAAGGAGAAGAGAUGCUUUAGGUUUUAUAUGGUAAGAGUCUGCUGCUUAGCGACUCUGCUGAUUUAGAGACAGGGGAUUAAUCAGGCUGUCAGAUUGUUCCCCUGAAAAUAGAUGCAGCAGGAGAGAUAGUAACCUGUGGCUUUCUCAAUUCAGGAAGGCAGCUGGUUAACAUUUUUUAUGGCUGCAGUGUCUCAGUGUCUCUCUCCUUAACUGUAAUUUAGGGCUUUCUCUAUUGAGAUGUACAGGAGACUAUCUGUAACGAGUUGUUAGUAUUGACGUGUUUAAAAAAAAAAAAAUCCCAAAGCCUGCUUUUUAUGUAUCCCAAGGCCGCUCAUCAAUAAUUUGCACUUCACGAAGUAAUAGACUUAUGAAAACGGAUUUCUUUUUAGUCUUCCUUUCUUCUCACAAUAAAGAUACAGGCAAGCCAUAGUGUCAUAAUGUCACAAAAUUCAAUACAAGUAGUAAUUCUUUAACUGUUAGAGACAUACAUUAAAAAAAGCCUAGUAUUUAUUUUAUAAAGCAAAAACAGCAAUUUAAACAUAUUUAACUAGGUGUUGCAUUCAAUUCUUGACUGUUUGGAAGGACAACUCUGCAUGAGAAAUGAGAAAAUAAGGUAGAUUAGUGUGUGCAUUCAUCCGAUGGCAUGGCAUGGGUAUUACUUAAGAUUCUAAAUGAUUAUAAAGCUAAAGGGAUGACAUAGAGGAAUAAAAAAGUCAAAUAUCUGACAAUCUGUGUCUGACUAAGUGACAGUAAUCCAGCCAAGAUUUCACCGAUGGCUAUAAUGCGUGGGCUUUUCAGAAGCGCACAGAAGUGUCAUCUGCAGUUGAUUUGAGUUUGAGCUUUUCCUGUAAAUCAUAUAAGAGCCUUUAAAUACUUUUUUAGCCUUUGUUAAUAAGUUGGUUCUCAUAACCUUUAGAGGCUCAGGUGUUUUCCUUUGCUUGAAGCCAGAGACAAAUCUGGACAGACUAUGUCAUUGUUCCUCAAAGGGAGCCUGACCUUUACCGGGACCCUUGGAGAGCCACUAGGAUCAAACACUUUUGGGGGUGGUGGCGGGUGGUGAAAAUGAACAGAUUCAGAUAUAGGUGUCUGGGUGUGGGCGCAUGAGACUAAAUAUUCAUGGCCAUCUGCACUAACAUUCAUCUGGUGUCUUUUGCCUUGAUGGAGAGUACCUGAAAUUAGUCCUAUGGAAAUGAUAAUUAGGUUCAAAGUAUUAUUGAAAGAACAGUUUCAUCAUGAUAGUUAACAGAACGACUUGUUACUGCACAUGCUCAAGUUAUCAUUGAAUAUGGGCCUUGGAAAGGCUCACCCAGAGCUAGGACAGCACUGACUCUUGAGGACCCGUGGACUCUGUAGAAGGCCUUUGGGUCCAAAGCCCCCUGUCUGGGGAGGAGGGGCUCGCAGUCCAGGGAGAUGAAGAGAGGGCUGAGUAGUGAAGAAGCCGAAUCUAGGAACUCACCCUUAGGGACUCGGCCAGUGUCCUGUCUCCUACCACAUGGGGCUUGUCAUCUGCAUGUUAGCAUGUGCUAGCUGUGAGCACUCUUCAUUUGUACGAUGAACAAAAGAAAACCAGUCAUGUAGGAUGUUAUGAGGGAAAAAUGAAGUGUUGAGCAUCCAUCACUGCCUUUAAUAAAAACCCUCUGUG